GAAUGGCAAAUUUUUUCUGCAAGUGCCCAAGAAAAAGCGAAUGUGAUUAAACAAUCUCAAGCAGAAAGCUUUCAAAUUGGCAAGAUAAGAAGAAGCGACUACAGCCUCGAUAGAACAU